UACGGAGGAUGCAAGCGUUAUCCGGAUUCACUGGGCUUAAAGGGUGCGUAGGCGGAUAUGUAAGUCCGUGGUGAAAUCUCUGGGCUUAACCCGGAAACUGCCAUGGAUACUAUGUGUCUUGAAUGUUGUUGAGGUGAGCGGAAUAUGUCAUGUAGCGGUGAAAUGCUUAGAUAUGACAUAGAACACCAAUUGCGAAGGCAGCUCACUAAGCAAAUAUUGACGCUGAGGCACGAAAGCGUGGGGAUCAAACAGG
rnacentral:rRNA from 1 species